UAAAAGGACCAUGUGAAGGCACAUGUUUGGUUCCCUGAGGUUCAGGUCUGGGAUCAGGCCAUUUCGUCCAAUGGCCAUUUCGUCCAAUAGUUUAACUUUGUAAAUUUUAUUAUAAAAUUUGCAAUGGCAGCCCCCAACAUGUGUGAGGAAGGAAAUUUUCCCAAAUAGUUCUUAGAUUUUACAUGAAUAGGUAGGAACCCAUUGUUUUGACCACACUUGCCAAGAAAGGUGAAACUGGGGCGAUCUUUACUCGCCAUUAGAUUUCGCAACUUGCAGGUGAUUAAACUACAUGCUGCAAAAAUGUUUUGCUUCGGUAAAAUUCAGUUAUGAUUUUUAAAGAACCAACAAAUACCUGAAAAAUUAAAAAAUUGAUUGGUGCGUAUGAAAAAGGCUUUGGACGAAAUGACUUGCAUUCUCAGGUCUGACUAUGGCGUCUUCGUGACUUGUGCUGUCCACUGCAGAUAAUGCAUCUGGUUGAUUGUAGCAGAGAUGAAGAUGCAAAACUUGACUUCAAGCACUGAUGCAGACAUCGAGACUCUCCAGUGAUGUUACUUGAGAAAGUGUCUGACUUGUGCCAUGAUUUUAUUUAUUUAUUUUUGAAUAAAAUCUUGAAGCUUUGA